GCCUUCGUGGUGUAGUGGGAAAUACGCUCGACGCGUAAUCGAGGGGUCCGUGGUUCGAUUCCCGACGAAGGCG
rnacentral:tRNA from 1 species